rnacentral:rRNA from 1 species
GCAGAAGCUUCUCACUUUCAAAGGCCUGAGAGGAUACAGACCAUACAUAGUAAUCUUUGACCAGGACUAAUAUGGUCAAAAAAACAGACGAGAUCACAGUACACUGAAUCUCCACAUGGAAAAUAAUGCACUCCUGUCAUAUUAUUGGCAGAACCAGCUGGCUCUGCCUUCCACAUGCUUGAGAAUUGAGUAGCACCACGCACAUACGGCAAGUCAGCAUCAUCCGGGCAGCCAAAUUCAGUGAAUCGAAUGGCGUGCUCUUCUUUGACCUGCGCCAUCCGACGUCAGCAUCAUCCGGACCGCCUGGACGCCGCCUUUCUGGAGGGGUUCAGAACUUAAGAAGAUUCAUUCAUCCACAUGGCCGACGUUAGAGCAUGCGUCACUAGCAAGAGGUGACCAAGUUGAUACGCUGCACUCGUUCCGACGUCAGCUCGUCAACUCAACUUAGGAAGAUAUAUAUAGCACCAGGACCAGGUGCUAUAUACACACUACGGUUGCCAUUGCACCGCUUCCAAGCCCUCCCAGCUUGACAGACUCCACUAGCAUUUCAGCCGAUCAGCCAUGACCUUCGCCGGCAGCGGUGAUGGCCCGAGCGGCUCUGCGAGGGCGCACUUCGUGCUGGUACCCAUGAUGGCUCAGGGUCAUACCAUCCCCAUGACCGACAUGGCACGCCUGCUGGCAGAACAUGGCGCGCAGGUCAGCUUCAUCAGGGCUUCGCCGCUGACGUGAAGGCAGCAGGCCUGGCGGUUCAGCUCGUGGAGCUCCACUUCCCGGCAGCGGAGUUCGGCCUACCCCGGGUGCGAGAACCUCGACAUGAUCCAAUCAAAGAAUUUGUUCCUGAACUUCAUGGAGACCUGUGCUGCGCUGCAGGAGCCGCUCAUGGCGUACCUCCGUGAGCAGCAGCGCUUGCCUCCUAGCUGCAUCAUAUCUGACCUGGUUCACUGGUGGACUGGUGACAUCGCAAGGGAGCUUGAUAUCCCAAGGCUGACCUUUAAUGGCUUUUGUGGCUUCUCGUCCCUCAUCAGGUACAUCACUUAUCACAACAAUGUAUUUCAAAAUGUCAAAGACGAAAAUGAGCUCAUCACAAUCACAGGGUUCCCUACGCCACUAGAGCUGACAAAGGCAAAAUGCCCUGGAAAUUUUUGUAUUCCUGGUAUGAAGCAAAUCCGUAAGAAGUUCCUUGAAGAGGAGCUGAAAAGUGAUGGUGAGGUAAUUAACAGCUUCCAGGAGCUGGAGACAUUGUACAUUGAAUCCUUUGAGCAGACGACAAAGAAGAAGGUCUGGGCGGUCGGACCAAUGUGCCUCUGCCACCGAGACAACAACACUAUGGCCCGCAAGAGGAAACAAGGUGUCAAUGGAUGAAGCACAGUGCUUGCAAUGGCUUGAUUCAAUGAAGCCAGGCUCAGUGGUCUUUGUCAGCUUUGGCAGCCUCGCUUGCACUACACCUCAACAGCUUGUUGAGCUGGGACUGGGACUUGAAACCUCCAGGAAACCGUUUAUUUGGGUGAUCAAAGCAGGAGCUAAGCUUCCAGAAGUUGAGGAAUGGCUCGCAGACGAGUUCGAGGAGCGUGUCAAAAAUAGAGGCAUGGUCAUAAGGGGUUGGGCACCACAGCUCAUGAUCCUGCAGUACCAAGCCGUUGGAGGAUUCGUGACGCACUGCGGGUGGAACUCAACAGUAGAGGGCAUCUGUGCAGGUGUGCCCAUGAUCACAUGGCCGCACUUUGGGGAGCAGUUUUUGAAUGAGAAGCUGCUGGUGGAUGUGCUGAAAAUUGGGAUGGAGGUUGGAGUGAAAGGAGUUACACAGUGGGGAAGUGAAAACCAGGAGGUUAUGGUUACAAGAGAUGAGGUGCAGAAAGCUGUGAACACCCUGAUGGAUGAGGGGGCGGCUGCAGAAGAGAUGAGGGUGAGAGCAAAAGACUGCGCCAUUAAGGCAAGGAGGGCUUUCAAUGAGGGAGGUUCUUCGUAUGACAACAUAAGGCUAUUAAUUCAAGAAAUGGAAAUCAAGACGAAUGCAUGUGGUUCAGUGGUUGAUACAGAUGGUAAUAAGCUCUCUUUUUUGGUGUAAACAUAAAGUAAACGAGCCUAUAGCAUAUUUAUCGUUAUAAAGGAUUUCUUUUACAAAUAACCGGUAGCCUGUAUCAGGAUCACUGUCUAUUCUGUUGCGCGGGUUUCAUAUUUUGGGGAAAGGGGAUAUCCCCGGCCGCUGCAUCAUACUGAUCCACACAGUCAUAUUUAUUAAAAACAAUUCAGAAGUUCAGUAGUUUCAUAAUGAUUACACAGUCUGCUUCUCCAAAUGGCAUGCUCUCCUUUUCAUUUUGCUACCACUUACUCAUCAGAGUUGAUAAGAGUUCAGAAAGGAUAAAAAAUGAAAUAAAAUGUAUGCACAUUAUCAAAACUGAGACUAAAAGCAAGCUAUGAUUCAAGGUGAAUAAUCCAAAAGAAGGUAAGGAAGUGAAACCCACAUAAAGCACAUAUGAAUUUAGAAACUUAUGUUUGACUUAGCAGUGUGACAAACAUGAAAUCUCAAGGAUCUCUCCAUACUAAAAAGAGGUUCAAGGUUACCUAAAAUAAGGUUGUCUUGUACUGUUUACAUGAGAAGUAAAUGAAGGAUCAAACUCAAGACUAGUGAGCAAAUCUAUUGUUUUAAACGUGCUGGUUGAUUCUCCUAGUUGCCAAAAUCAAUCUAAUCCUGCACUUUAGUCUUCUAAACGGAUAAAAGUAUGUACUCAGUAAAAUGAAAAGAGCCUGUAGUACAAAUAACCUGUUGUCAUUAGAAAGAACCUACAUGUCAUUGGAAAUAAUUUUAUUUUACAAAUAACCCGUUGCUUAUAUUAGGCUCACUGGUGGGGCCAUGAUUGUUUAGAGAUUAAAUGAGGGUCCAAAGACAGCAAUAUCAAUUGUCUACGCUGUUGUGCAGGUUUCAUGGCAGUCAACAUAAUGAUUACACAGUCUUCUUCUGCAGAUGUUAUGCUCUCCUUUUCAUUUUGCUAGCACUUGCUCAUCAGAGUUAAAUAUGGGUCAGAAAGGGGAGGAAAUGAAAUAAACUGUAUGCACAUUAUCAAACUGAAACUAAAAUUAAGAGAUGAUUCGAGGUGAAUAAUUCAAAGGAAGAGAAGGAAAUGGAACCCACAUAACGUGCAUAUGACAUUAAAAUCUUAUGUUUGACUUAGUAGUGUGGCAAACAUGAAAUUUCAAGGAUCUCUCCAUACUAAAAGAGAUAAGGAUCACCUAAAACAAGGUCGUCUUGUACAGUACUGUUUAUAUGACAAGUGGCUAAAGGGUCAAAGCUCAAGACCAGUGAGCAAAUCUAUUGUUUUGAACGCUGACGCUCCUAGUUGCCAAAAUCAAUCUAAACCUGCACUUUCAUCUUCUAAAGGAAUAGAAGUAUGUAGGAGUAUUUAUCUAGCAACUUGGGGGCACAAAGAGGAGUGCAUAAGUUCAAAGAAACUAUGGUGUAAUAGAUUGUUUCAUAGGAAGUGUCAAGAUUUACUGAGCAAUUGUGAACAGGUAUGGUCAAAUGUUCUAUAUUCAAAGUAGGACAGUGUGUUGAGUUCCUUACAAAGUCAAAUAUGAACUAGGCAAUGGGAAAGAUGUAGACUGGAGGAAAUAGACCAAACCUGGUUUCACUAUGCACCGAUGAGCGAUGACUGUCACUUCAUCUGGAGCAUUCUGUAAAACAUAUGGAUAUCCUCCUCACCGUGAGGACCAGCGAGCUUUGGCAAGUGGGCGUUCAGGUUGAGCUCUAGCCCAAACUUAGCCACGACGUGCGCAUGAACGGCGUCCCCACAGCCGGCUCCAUGGCGCGCGCAUUGAGCAACGGCGCGCGUAGGGCCUGGCUCCGCACGCCAGGAUGCCCACGUACACCCGCAACAGCAUCCUCGGCGCCAGCAGCCGCCGCCGCGAGGCGCCCCGGCGAGGAAUUUCAUCGAACGGGCCACGGGCGCGCCGCAGGGCGCGCAGCAUGUGCUUACUAGCCUUCCGCACGCACUCCUCGCCGCGAGAUUGUUGCAUCAACAUUAACCGCGGGUAGUUGCAGUGAUGCGCAGGGAACGUGUCGGCAGAGUGUAACACCGCCAGGAGCGAGAGAGGAAUCUAGAUCGAGCGAGGGGAGGGAGGAGAGGAUGGCUUGGAGAGGAAGGAGGAGGAAUGGAUUGCAGAGGAAGGAUUCGGCACAGAGAAU